AUAUGUAGCACGGAACAUACCAGCAGAGAUAUCGGGAGCCCUGUACAGGGAGCUAGCGUCGUUGCAUCCCGUCACCCACAUUGGCCCAUCACCGGCAUUAAUCCAUCCACAGGUACCUGAUCGAAACGUACAAGAAAGGAAGCCAUCGCUCUCUCCUAAAAAUUAAACAAGAGGUCGUCUUAAGAGUUAUGACUGUUUUUCAGCUGUCAUAGUAUAGUUUUCUUCGUUUCCUGCUUCGAUCGGGAAUUUGUGGUCAUGGCCAUCACACCCGACUGAUGCCAAGCGGCAACAAUCUUGAGCCUUAACUGCAAACACACACGAACGGCAACUAGAGUGCUUCCGUCUUUGUCACUUUUCAAAUGCACCACCUACCCGGAAAUAUUCCAUGGGCUCCAGAGUUAACGUCACGUGCUGGCUAGUUUCGUAACGGCCGUUAUUCGUUAGCGCCCAAAUUUCUUCCCAGUUACCACUGGCUGAUUGAAUAUACAUGUGGGCAUUAGGGAGAUGGGCUCUGACAGCAAAUGAUGCCCGUUUAAACCGUAGCUGUCUCGCGUCGGAGUGCGGGCGAUUCCACUGGCACCUGCGGCACAAUUCGACCGUGCGGUAGCCGUUGAUGGAGUCUCGGAUUUCCCAUGCCCCAUCCGGACGAGUCCAUCCGCAAUAGUUGGUGUUAAACUGGCACGAAACCUUAGCUUCUGAUUCCGAAAUGCGUAGCAGCACCACUGAAACGAAAUUGACAUGCACAAUCGACUGCGACUUCCACUCAUUCGUUCUAUUCUGUACACCGGAGCUCUAGAACUUUUGUAUGGUUUUUCUUACCUGCUAGAAAAAAGGUCAACAGCCAGUGGAGCGCCAUUUUUAAAAUUUUGUUUGGUAUAGAAAGAAUUCAAAUUUUUUCCAUAUGCCAGAAUCUGUGGUGCCAUGUAAAUUAAGCGCUUGAACAAUGCUGAUGGAGAAACUGGACUUUUUUCUGUCGUAUCGGUACGGCAUCGAUAAGAUAACU